rnacentral:rRNA from 1 species
UCCGGUUGAUCCUGCCGGACCUGACUGCUAUCGGGAUAAGACUAAGCCAUGGAGGUCGACGCGCGCCCUUGCGCGCGUGGCGUACGGCUCAGUAACGCGUGGUUAACCUGCCCUCGCGAUGGGUAUAACCUCGGGAAACUGAGGAUAAUCUCCAAUAGGCGAUUGGAUCUGGAAGGACCUUUCGCCCAAAGGGAUGGGGCAAAUGGGCCUCAUCCGCGCGAGGAUGGGACUGCGUCCCAUCAGGCAGUUGGUGGGGUAAUGGCCCACCAAACCUAUAACGGGUACGGGCCGUGAGAGCGGGAGCCCGGAGAUGGGCACUGAGACAAGGGCCCAGGCUCUACGGAGCGCACCAAGCGCGAAACCUUCGCAAUGCGCGAAAGCGUGACGGGGCUAUCCCGAGUGCUAGCCGCUGAGGCUAGCUUUUGCUCAGUGUAAGAAGCUGAGCGAAUAAGUGGGGGGCAAGACUGGUGUCAGCCGCCGCGGUAAUACCAGCUCCACGAGUGGUCAGGACGGUUAUUGGGCCUAAAGCGUCCGUAGCCGGCUCAGCAAGUUUAUGGUGAAAUCCGUCGUCUCAAGCGUCGGAGUGCUGUAAAUACUGCUGGGCUAGGGAGUGGGAGAGGCCGAGGGUACCUCCGGGGUAGGGGCGAAAUCCUAUAAUCCCGGAGUGACGACCAGUGGCGAAAGCGCUCGGCUAGAACACGUCCGACGGUGAGGGACGAAAGCUGGGGCAGCAAACCGGAUUAGAUACCCGGGUAGUCCCAGCCGUAAACCAUGCGGGCUAGUUGUCGGAGCGGCUUAGUGCCGCUCCGGUAACGCAGGGAAGCCAUUAAGCCCGCCGCCUGGGGAGUACGACCGCAAGGUUGAAACUUAAAGGAAUUGGCGGGGGAGCACCACAAGGGGUGAAGCUUGCGGCUCAAUUGGAGUCAACGCCGGG